CCAAGAAGGUGAAUCAUAAUAACUUUGCAAAUCGAAACUACGUUUCGAUACAUCAUUCAAGUUUCUGACCUAUCAUGCUCUCGAUGGUAGUGUAUUGGACUACCAUGGCAGUCACGGGUAACGGAGAAUUAGGGUUCGAUUCCGGAGAAGGAGCCUGAGAAACGGCUACUACAUCUAAGGAAGGCAGCAGGCGCGUAAUUACCCCAAUCCUAAAUCAGGGAGGUAGUGACAAGAUAUAACAACGCGAUUAAAAUGUCGCGAUUGUAGUGAGGGUAUUCUAAAAAUAGCUUCGAGUACGAUUGGAGGGCAAGUCUGGUGCCAGCAGCCGCGGUAAUUCCAGCUCCAAUAGCGUAUAUUAAAGUUGCUGCAGUUAAAAAGCUCGUAGUUGAACUUCAUGAGCAGUAGGUAGCUUACUACCUGCUCUCUACCAGUCUUUCGACUGUUACUGUGAGAAAUUAGAGUGUUUCAAGCAGGCUAUUGCAGGAUACAUUAGCAUGG
rnacentral:rRNA from 1 species